rnacentral:rRNA from 1 species
AGCAGCCGCGGUAAUUCCAGCUCCAAUAGCGUAUAUUAAAGUUGUUGCAGUUAAAAAGCUCGUAGUUGAAUUUCGAGAUCAAAUUGUUGGUCGUGCCUUGGUACGUACUGACAUUAUUGGUUUCUCCCUUCUGAAGAACCAUGAUGUCAUUAAUUUGGUGUCAUGGGGAAUCAGGACUGUUACUUUGAAAAAAUUAGAGUGUUUAAAGCAGGCUAACGCUUGAAUACAUUAGCAUGGAAUAAUGAAAUAGGACGUUCGAUCUUAUUUUGUUGGUUUCUAAGAUUGACGUAAUGAUUAAUAGGGAUAGUUGGGGGCAUUAGUAUUCAAUUGUCAGAGGUGAAAUUCUUGGAUUUAUUGAAGACUAACUACUGCGAAAGCAUUUGCCAAGGAUGUUUUCAUUAAUCAAGAACGAAAGUUAGGGGAUCGAAGACGAUCAGAUACCGUCGUAGUCUUAACCAUAAACUAUGCCGACUAGGGAUCGGAUGAUGUUAAUUUUUUAAUGACUUCAUUUCGGCGUACC